rnacentral:rRNA from 1 species
GACUAAGGCCAUACCACCCUGAACGCGCCUGAUCUCGCCUGAUCUUGGAAGCUAAGCAGGGUCAGACCUGGUUGGUAUUUGGAUGGGAGACCGCCUAGGAAUGUCCGGUGGUGUAGGCU